rnacentral:rRNA from 1 species
CGGACGGGUGAGUAAUGUCUGGGAAACUGCCCGAUGGAGGGGGAUAACUACUGGAAACGGUAGCUAAUACCGCAUAACGUCGCAAGACCAAAGAGGGGACCUUCGGGCCUCGCGCCAUCAGAUGAACCCAUAUGGGAUUAGCUUGUAGGUAAGGUAACGGCUUACCUAGGCGACGAUCCCUAGCUGGUCUGAGAGGAUGAUCAGCCACACUGGGACUGAGACACGGCCCAG